rnacentral:rRNA from 1 species
UUUGACGUUAGCGACAGAAGAAGCACCGGCUAACUCCGUGCCAGCAGCCGCGGUAAUACGGAGGGUGCGAGCGUUAAUCGGAAUUACUGGGCGUAAAGCGCAUGCAGGUGGUUUGUUAAGUCAGAUGUGAAAGCCCGGGGCUCAACCUCGGAAUUGCAUUUGAAACUGGCAGACUAGAGUACUGUAGAGGGGGGUAGAAUUUCAGGUGUAGCGGUGAAAUGCGUAGAGAUCUGAAGGAAUACCGGUGGCGAAGGCGGCCCCCUGGACAGAUACUGACACUCAGAUGCGAAAGCGUGGGGAGCAAACAGGAUUAGAUACCCUGGUAGUCCACGCCGUAAACGAUGUCUACUUGGAGGUUGUGGCCUUGAGCCGUGGCUUUCGGAGCUAACGCGUUAAGUAGACCGCCUGGGGAGUACGGUCGCAAGAUUAAAACUCAAAUGAAUUGACGGGGGCCCGCACAAGCGGUGGAGCAUGUGGUUUAAUUCGAUGCAACGCGAAGAACCUUACCUACUCUUGACAUCCAGAGAACUUUCCAGAGAUGGAUUGGUGCCUUCGGGAACUCUGAGACAGGUGCUGCAUGGCUGUCGUCAGCUCGUGUUGUGAAAUGUUGGGUUAAGUCCCGCAACGAGCGCAACCCUUAUCCUUGUUUGCCAGCGAGUAAUGUCGGGAACUCCAGGGAGACUGCCGGUGAUAAACCGGAGGAAGGUGGGGACGACGUCAAGUCAUCAUGGCCCUUACGAGUAGGGCUACACACGUGCUACAAUGGCGCAUACAGAGGGCAGCCAACUUGCGAAAGUGAGCGAAUCCCAAAAAGUGCGUCGUAGUCCGGAUUGGAGUCUGCAACUCGACUCCAUGAAGUCGGAAUCGCUAGUAAUCGUGGAUCAGAAUGCCACGGUGAAUACGUUCCCGGGCCUUGUACACACCGCCCGUCACACCAUGGGAGUGGGCUGCAAAAGAAGUAGGUAGUUUAACCUUCGGGGGGACGCUUACCACUUUGUGGUUCAUGACUGGGGUGAAGUCGUAACAAGGUAGCGCUAGGGGAACCUGGCGCUGGAUCAC